ACUAUUGCUUGGGAGGCAAUGGCAGCGACCACAGCAGUCUCCUGGCACCUCAGAAAUGCCCUCCGCAAACUUACCGCAAGCACCCAGGAGCUCAGAGCCUGACAGAUUGCCAGCCAUGUCCUCCGGGCUACCACUGCCCUUUGUCAGGUCUGACCACGUUUGAGGAUUAUCCGUGCCCUCCUGGAUACUGGUGUCCUGGUAAAGGGGAUGCUUUCCUUUGUCCAGCUGGCACUUCCAGGAUCCAGCCUGCUGCAAAAUCUCUGGAAGAUUGUGAUCCCUGCUCACCUGGAUACUAUUGCCCAGAUCCAGCACAGACAGGGCUGCCUAACACCCAAGGAGUACCUUGUAAACCUGGCUAUGAAUGUCCAGCAGGCUCAGUAAAUCCAAAGCCUUGCAGGGCUGGCUCGUACUGUGGCGCUCACACAGCCAAGCCUUCCGUGUGCCCUGCUGGGUAUUACUGUCCCGAAGGAUCGUCGACGUACAAUGGCCCUGAGCAGCUGUGUGUGUUCCCCUACUACUGUCCCCCAGGCAGUGCUCAUCCGCUGCCUUGUGAAGGAGGAUACAUGGCACUCAGCUUGCCUGGUCCAAGGGGUUCAUUUGAGAGAUUCUGCAGCAUCUGCGAUGCAGGCACCUAUCGUAGUGACUCGCUCAUCGCGGCACCCUGUCAGCCCUGCCCAGCAGG